AGAGUUUCAUUUUGGCUCAGGAUGAACGCUGGCGGCGUGCUUAACACAUGCAAGUCGAACGGGAAUUACUUUAUUGAAACUUCUGUCGAUUUAAUUUAAUUCUAGUGGCGGACGGGUGAGUAACGCGUGGGUAACCUGCCUUAUACGGGGGGAUAACAGUCAGAAAUGGCUGCUAAUACCGCAUAAGCGCACAGAGCUGCAUGGCUCAGUGUGAAAAACUCCGGUGGUAUGGGAUGGGCCCGCGUCUGAUUAGGCAGUUGGCGGGGUAACGGCCCACCAAACCGACGAUCAGUAGCCGGCCUGAGAGGGCGACCGGCCACAUUGGGACUGAGACACGGCCCAAACUCCUACGGGAGGCAGCAGUGGGGAAUAUUGCACAAUGGGGGAAACCCUGAUGCAGCGACGCCGCGUGAGCGAAGAAGUAUUUCGGUAUGUAAAGCUCUAUCAGCAGGGAAGAUAAUGACGGUACCUGACUAAGAAGCCCCGGCUAACUACGUGCCAGCAGCCGCGGUAAUACGUAGGGGGCAAGCGUUAUCCGGAUUUACUGGGUGUAAAGGGAGCGUAGACGGCACGGCAAGUCUGAUGUGAAAACCCCAGGGCUUAACCCUGGGACUGCAUUGGAAACUGUCUGGGUCCAAGUGCCGGAAAGGUAAACGGAAAUCCCUAAGUGGAACCGGUGAAAUGCGUUAAAUAUUAGGAAAGAACAACCAGUGGUGAAGGCGGCUUUACUGGUCUGUUAUUGACACUGAGGCACGAAAGCGUGGGGGUAGCAAAACAGGAUUAGAUACCCUGGUAGUCCACGCCCUAAACGAUGAGUAUUAAGUAUUGGGCGAAAGCUCAGUGCUGAAGUUAACGCAUUAAAUACUCCGCCUGGGGAGUACGGUCGCAAGACUGAAACUCAAAGGAAUUGACGGGGACUCGCACAAGCGGUGGAGCAUGUGGUUUAAUUCGAUGCAACGCGAAAAACCUUACCAGGUCUUGACAUCCCUAUGACCGAUGCAGAGAUGUAUCUUUCCCUUUCGGGGGACGAAGGAGACAGGUGGUGCAUGGUUGUCGUCAGCUCGUGUCGUGAGAUGUUGGGUUAAGUCCCGCAACGAGCGCAACCCUUGCCUUUAGUUGCCAUCAUUAAGUUGGGCACUCUAGAGGGACUGCCAGGGAUAACCUGGAGGAAGGUGGGGAUGACGUCAAAUCAUCAUGCCCCUUAUGCUUAGGGCUACACACGUGCUACAAUGGGUGGUACAGAGGGCAGCGAAGUCGUGAGGCCAAGCUAAUCCCUUAAAGCCAUUCUCAGUUCGGAUUGUAGGCUGAAACUCGCCUACAUGAAGCUGGAGUUACUAGUAAUCGCAGAUCAGAAUGCUGCGGUGAAUGCGUUCCCGGGUCUUGUACUCACCGCCCGUCA
rnacentral:rRNA from 1 species